ensembl:miRNA gmo-mir-16a gmo-mir-16a
UAGCAGCACGUAAAUAUUGGUGUGUGAGACUAGACCCCAACCCCAAUGUUGGCAGUGCUGCUUCA